GAUGAACGCUGGCGGCGUGCUUAACACAUGCAAGUCGAACGAUGAAGCCCAGCUUGCUGGGUGGAUUAGUGGCGAACGGGUGAGUAACACGUGAGUAACCUGCCCUUAACUCUGGGAUAAGCCUGGGAAACUGGGUCUAAUACCGGAUAGGAGCGUCCACCGCAUGGUGGGUGUUGGAAAGAUUUAUCGGUUUUGGAUGGACUCGCGGCCUAUCAGCUUGUUGGUGGGGUAAUGGCUCGCAAAGGCGACGACGGGUAGCCGGCCUGAGAGGGUGACCGGCCACACUGGGACUGAGACACGGCCCAGACUCCUACGGGAGGCAGCAGUGGGGAAUAUUGCACAAUGGGCGCAAGCCUGAUGCAGCGACGCCGCGUGAGGGAUGACGGCCUUCGGGUUGUAAACCUCUUUCAGUAGGGAAGAAGCGAAAGUGACGGUACCUGCAGAAGAAGCACCGGCUAACUACGUG
rnacentral:rRNA from 1 species